rnacentral:rRNA from 1 species
AUUGAACGCUAGCGGGGUGCUUUACACAUGCAAGUCGAACGAGUGGCGGACGGGUGAAUAAUAUAUCGGAACGUGACCAGUAGAGGGGGAUAACUACUCGAAAGCGUGGAUAAUACCGCAUACUAUUGGGGCGGCCGAAAUGGGAUUAGCUAGUUGGUGGGGUAAAGGCUCACCAAGGCAACAACCCGUAGCUGGUUUGAGAGGAAGACCAGCCACACUGGGACUGAGACACGGCCCAGACUCCUACGGGAGGCAGCAGUGGGGAAUUUUGGACAAUGGGGGAAACCCUGAUCCAGCCAUCCCGCGUGUAUGAGAAGGCCUUCGGGUUGUAAAGUACUUUUGGCAGAGAAGCGGUAUCUGCAGAAUAAGCACCGGCUAACUACGUGCCAGCAGCCGCGGUAAUAC